GACGAACGCUGGCGGCGUGCUUAACACAUGCAAGUCGAACGGAAAGGCCCUGCUUUUGUGGGGUGCUCGAGGGGCGAACGGGUGAGGAACACGUGAGUAACCUGCCCUUUACUUUGGGAUAACUUCAGGAAACUGGGGCUAAUACCGGAUAGGAGCUCCUGCUGCAUGGUGGGGGUGGGAAAGUUUCGGCGGUUGGGGAUGGACUCGCGGCUUAUCAGCUUGUUGGUGGGGUAGUGGCUUACCAAGGCUUUGACGGGUAGCCGGCCUGAGAGGGUGACCGGCCACAUUGGGACUGAGAUACGGCCCAGACUCCUACGGGAGGCAGCAGUGGGGAAUAUUGCACAAUGGGCGGAAGCCUGAUGCAGCAACGCCGCGUGCGGGAUGACGGCCUUCGGGUUGUAAACCGCUUUCGCCUGUGACGAAGCGUGAGUGACGGUAAUGGGUAAAGAAGCACCGGCUAACUACGUG
rnacentral:rRNA from 1 species